GACGAACCGUGCGAACGUUGUUCGGAAUCACUGGGCUUAAAGGGCGCGUAGGCGGGUUCGCAAGUCUGUGGUGAAAGCCUCCAGCUUAACUGGAGAAGUGCCGUGGAUACUGCGAAUCUUGAGGAGGGUAGGGGCGUCUGGAACGGUCGGUGGAGCGGUGAAAUGCGCAGAUAUCAGGAGGAACACCAGUGGCGAAGGCGGUUCUCUGGGCAUUACCUGACGCUGAGGAGCGAAAGUGUGGGGAGCGAACAGG
rnacentral:rRNA from 1 species